CCUGUCCCUGGAGGCAUUACAGGUAUGGCUGCUGUGUCACAUGUCCAUCAGUAGGUGGCAGGGAAGAGAGGCUAUGUCUAAGCUCAGUGCUCUGAUCUACGAACAUUUCAAUGAUUAGUCACCUAACAUU
ensembl:snoRNA LOC120102677 small nucleolar RNA SNORA17